CUUGCUCUCAGGUUCUGGGGCUGAGACGUGAUCGUCAUCAGGGCCAUUACUCUGCGGUCCACAGUGGAGGGUCUGGAGUCCACCGCCUCUAACCCCCGUGAGCCUGGCAGGCUCUUCUCUCUAAAGCCCAGAUGUCUUCAUCUAUGCAACGAGCGUGGGGCAUUUAGCGAGGCUGCUGAAUAUCACCCUGGCUUCCUCAGCCUUUGGAAGUGGAACUGUGUGCACAGCCUCGCAGCAGGCCUGCCUCCCGCCCGACAAGGCCUUUCUGCUCUGAGUUCCAAUUUGUGGUGACCCCGUUUCUGGGCUCUGUGCGUGCCCAGAGUGGGAGCUCCAGUAGGCAGGGCCACCCACCUGUCCCGGGCACCUGAAACCCAGCCAGGUGCAUGGGGAACUGUGUGCUUGGGGUUUUUUUAUCUCUGUCCUGUAAAUGGGACGUCUGAAGUUCAGCAGGUUAAGUCACCCUGCCCCCAUCAUCAUGUUGUGCAAAGUGGAAGGUGGAACUGAAACCCAGGAGCCCCCCUCAGACCCUGCGGUCUUUCUGCGUCUUGCAGCCGGUGGGAGGGAGAUGCUGCAGCCAGAAGAGAUCACCGCGGGUCAAGAGAUCAGGGUGGGGUGAUGCCCCAGGGUCACCACCACACAGAAACACUGCUGCCUUUUUUCAGAAAAUGGAUCCUUCCUUUAACUUUCUGGCAUUCGGUGUGACCUCGUGUUGGUCAUAAACAGAGCAGAACCAAGAAUCCCACCAGCACAGACUGUGCCAUGUUCAGGAGCUGCUGACAGUCAAGCCACGGCUGUGCGGCCCAGGCAGGCUCUGGCUGGGGAAGACGGUCGCCAGCACUGGCGGCAGACCCUUCCAUUACCUCCAGAGCCCGCAGUGGAGGACAGGCGGGCGCGCAGCUGACGCUGCGGGCUCUAGGACUGUCUGAUCCGACGGUCACACCCCUCACAUCUGACCUGGGCUUCACAGCAAAUACAGUCAUCUUAUUGUAAAUUAUUCUCAUGUCGCAUUAAUCGGUUAUUCAGCGAGGAAAGUGACAUUGAGGAAGAAAUGACGUGGAACGUUUUUGGCCACAGAGAGAGAUUUAUUAAGAGGUUGAUGCCAGAGAGGCCUCAGACCUUAGAGCCCCACUGAGGCUGACCAGUCAUGACCUGGAGCCCAGGAGGGAGGGGACAGUGACAGAGAUGCUGCCCUCCAACAACAGAGGUGCUCCCUGAAAGUGAUGGUGAUGAAGGUGCUCCUGGAGGUGAUGAUGAAAGAGGUGUUCCCUGGAGGUAAUGGAGGUGCUCUCUGGAGGUGACGGUUAAGGAAGUGCUCCUGGAGGUGACAGUGAAGGAGGUGCCCCUGGAGGUGAUAGUGAAGGAGGUGCUCCCUGGAGGUGAUGGAGGUGCUCCCUGGAGGAGAUGGAAGUGCUCCUGGAGGUGACAGUGAAGGAGGUGCUCCCUCAAGGUCAUGGAGAUGCUCCUGGAAGUGACGAUGAAGGAGGUGCUCCCUGGAGGUGACAGUGAUGGAGGCGCUCCCUGGAGGUGAUGGUGAAGGAGGUGCUCCUGGAUGUGAUGGUGAUGGAGGUGUGGAGGUGCUCCCUGGAGGUGAUGGAAGUGCUCCUGGAGGCGACGGUGAAGGAGGUGCUCCCUGGAGGUGAUGGAGGUGCUCCUGGAGGUGAUGGAGGUGAUGGUGAAGGAGGUGCUCUCUGGAGGUGAUAGUGAUGGAGGUGCUUCCUGGAGGUGGUGGUGAAUACGGUGCUCCCUAGAGGUGACAGUGAAGGAGGUGCUCCCUGGAGAAGCCGAAGGCAGGCCUUGUCCCUCUAGCUACUUGGAGCCCCUAACACUGUCCUCAGUGCCGAUGCUUUUGGUUGCUACCGGGCACUUUCUUUAGGACACAGGCUGAGGAGGGACAGGGAUGGUGUCCCAGCAGCGUGAGCAUCUCCCAGUAGCAAAGGUGACAAACCAUUUCAGCUGGAGACGGAGAUGAAGCUGCAUAUUUAAGGCCAAGGAGUCUGUGCUGUGUCGGGGGCACUCGCCCCUGCUGAGGAGCCACUGCUGAACCUGGGGCUUAGAGAUGAGCCCUGAACCCAGCUCCAAAGUCUGCAGGCUCCACGUGCUGCUGGGCCCCCAACAAUGACAGGGCAGGAGCUUGGCUAUAGCCGCUCAACGAGUGUGCGUGGCCUGGGACCAUUCUAACAAACCAGGGGCUUAAAACAACAGAGGGUGCAUCUCAUGGUUCUGGAAGCCGGCAUCUGAGGUCAAGGCGUCCGUGAGGCCAUGCCCCUCCAAGGUGUGGAAGGCUCUUGGGGACCUCUCCUCACCUCACGACCCUCCCUGCAUGCCUCACCUGCAGACGCCUCACUCCACUCUCUGCCUCUGUCACAUGGCCUCCAUCCAAGGACCUGAAGCAGUGAUUGGGGCCCCCAACUCCAGGAUGACUUCAUCUGAGCCCAAAUCCAUCUGCAAAGACCCUCCUCCCAAACAGGGCGGCCCUUGUGGGGCCUGGGUUGGACUCAACCCUUCUUUUUGGAGACAAAAUUCAACCCCAAACACUAGACCGGUGGGAUUCCUACAACAACCCCAUCCGGGAAAGGCCAUGCCCUGCCCAGGGCCGAGAGCCAGCUCAGACUGGCCUCCAGCAAGGGCUGGACACAUGGCUCUCACAUCACCUCUAGUCCAAAACACGUGCUCCUUUCCCUCCAGCCAUUCCCUGGAAUCACCCCCCACCGCCCCCCACAGCUGUGACUCAGCUGUGAAGCCAGCAUGGCUCAGGAGGGGAGGGGAAAGAUGAGGAGGGGAGGGGAAAGAUGAGGAGGGGAGGGGAAAGAUGAGGAGGGGAGGGGAGGAAAGGAGAGGGGAGA
rnacentral:lncRNA from 10 species